GACGAACGCUGGCGGCGUGCUUAACACAUGCAAGUCGAACGGAAAGGCCCUGCUUUUGUGGGGUGCUCGAGUGGCGAACGGGUGAGUAACACGUGAGUAUCCUGCUCUUCACUUUGGGGUAACUUCAGGAAACUGGGGCUAAUACCGGAUAGGAGCUCCUGCUGCAUGGUGGGGGUUGGAAAUUUUCGGCGGUUGUGGAUGGAGUCGCGGCUUAUGAGCUUGCUGGUGGGGUAGUGUCUUACGAAGGCGUUGACGGGUAGGCGGCCUGAGAGGGCGACCGGCCAAAGUGAGGCGAAGGAGGGGCCCAGACUAGUACGUGAGUCAGCAGUGGGAAAUUUUGUACAAGCAGCGGAAGCCAGUUGCAGCAGCGCCGGGUGCGGGAUGCCGGCCUUCGGGUAGUAAACCGCUUUAGCCUGUUACGAAGCGUUAGUGACGGUAAUUGAUAAAGAAGCACCGGCUAACUGCGUG
rnacentral:rRNA from 1 species